GUGCCAGCAGCCGCGGUAAUACGGAGGGGGCCAGCGUUAUUCGGAAUUACUGGGCGUAAAGGGCGCGUAGGCGGUUCUGUAAGUGAGAAGUGAAAGCCCUCGGCUUAACCGGGGAACGGCUUUUCAAACUGCAGAACUUGAGGACGGGAGAGGAAAGUGGAAUUCCAGGUGUAGCGGUGAAAUGCGUAGAGAUCUGGAGGAACACCAGUGGCGAAGGCGGCUUUCUGGACCGAACCUGACGCUGAUGCGCGAAAGCGUGGGGAGCAAACAGGAUUAGAAACCCCUGUAGUCC
rnacentral:rRNA from 1 species